AAAAAUUAUGCAACUUAAUUUCUAGGCAUUUUAAAUGAUCAAGAUUAACUUUAACAGUGGCCGAUUAUUUCUUUAGAGUCUUAAUCAUCGAAAGCAACUCGAUAUAAUAAAGGCCUCCGAGCCAGACUCCUAAUAAAAUAUACAUUUCAGAAAAAUCCAAUCAGAAAUAUCAAAUCUGACUCAGAAUCCUUUUAGUGGCAUUAGAUAAUUCUCAAUACCAAACAGACUACUACUAAUU
rnacentral:lncRNA from 1 species